ACGUACACUCCUACGGGAGGCAGCAGUGGGGAAUUUUGGACAAUGGGCGAAAGCCUGAUCCAGCCAUGCCGCGUGCAGGAUGAAGGCCUUCGGGUUGUAAACUGCUUUUGUACGGAACGAAACGGCCUUUUCUAAUAAAGAGGGCUAAUGACGGUACCGUAAGAAUAAGCACCGGCUAACUACGUGCCAGCAGCCGCGGUAAUACGUAGGGUGCAAGCGUUAAUCGGAAUUACUGGGCGUAAAGCGUGCGCAGGCGGUUAUGUAAGACAGUUGUGAAAUCCCCGGGCUCAACCUGGGAACUGCAUCUGUGACUGCAUAGCUAGAGUACGGUAGAGGGGGAUGGAAUUCCGCGUGUAGCAGUGAAAUGCGUAGAUAUGCGGAGGAACACCGAUGGCGAAGGCAAUCCCCUGGACCUGUACUGACGCUCAUGCACGAAAGCGUGGGGAGCAAACAGGAUUAGAUACCCCUGUAGUCCCAUG
rnacentral:rRNA from 1 species